rfam:Gossypium hirsutum cultivar TM-1 chromosome 5, whole genome shotgun sequence
GCCCGUCUAGCUCAGUCGGUAGAGCGCAAGGCUCUUAACCUUGUGGUCGUGGUUCGAGCCCCACGGUGGGCG